rnacentral:lncRNA from 1 species
UAAUACAAAUAUGGAAGUAUGUGAAAACCUUAAAUAUGAUUUAAAGUGAAAAUUUAAAUUACAGGAGAGUAUGUAUAGAAAAAAUGGACUUGGUGAUUUUCAGAAUAUCUGGGUGAGUUUUGUUUUCACUUCCAUUUAAAUUUUCCUCUUGAAAAGAGUAGCAGCACUCUAAGAAAUGUAAAGUUUUGUGUCAUUUGUAGGGACAUGGAUGAAUCUGGAGAACAUCAUCCUCAGCAAACUGACACAAGAACAGAAAACGAAACACCGCAUAUUCUCACUCAUAGAUGUUACAGAAAGACAACAGAAUGUGAAGGUCAUGUUGGUCAGCCAAAUCAAAGCUGGUUCCACAGGCAAAUCACAUGGAAUUCAUUGACAUCGGUGCCCACAGUGAGAAGCAGCCCAGCAUCCUGUACUCAGCAUGGUGAUACUGCUCCACGUAUUGUUGAAGGGUUGACAGACAUUUUGCAUCAAUUUACCAUUCAAGAGGGUUUCAAAAGAUGACUAAAACUACUAGUGCUAAAUGCAAGUAUUAAAUGAUAAACACUUUUCAGAAAGUCAAGUUCAUAGGCCUGCCUAUAUUACUCAUUUAUUCUACUUAUUCACUCAUUUAUCCACUCAUUCAUUUACACAGACACACACGCAUGCGCACGCGCGCACACACACACACACACACACACAGAGAGAGAGAGAGAGAGAGAGAGAGAGAGAGAGAGAUUAACAAGUAUGUUCAAGGCAUUAUACCAGAAAAAAGAUCAUUAUGACAACACUCUAACCUCAAGGAACGGAUCAUCUAUUAGUAAAAGUACUCUAGCAGAAAAUGAAGAAUGAUAAGUGUAAAUAAUAAUUUAAAAAAUCAGGGGGAUCAAAAUCCUGAUGCAACGAUGUCCUGAAUAGUUGGUGAAAAGGGAAGGUAGGCUGGAAGGUUGUGCUCAAUGGAAAAAGCUGCACAACAGUAUAAUAAUUAUCACCAAAGUUACAGACAAAAUAAAUGCUCUUUGAAUUAAAUUUUCUAUGUCCCCAAAUACUUGUAAAUUUGCAAAGAAUAAGAGAGAAUUUUAAUAUUCAGAAAAUAUUUUAUAUUGCAUGUUAA